rnacentral:rRNA from 1 species
UACGUAGGGUGCAAGCGUUGUCCGGGAUCAUUGGGCGUAAAGCGCGCGUAGGUGGCUUCGUAAGUCCGUUGUGAAAGUCAAAGGCUCAACCUUUGAAUGCCGAUGGAUACUGCGAAGCUAGAGUACGGAAGAGGCGAGUGGAAUUCCUGGUGUGGCGGUGGAAUGCGCAGAUAUCAGGAGGAACACCAGUAGCGAAGGCAGCUCGCUGGGACGUUACUGACACUAAGGCGCGAAAGCGUGGGGAGCAAACAGG